rnacentral:rRNA from 1 species
AGUGAACGCUGGCGGUAGGCCUAACACAUGCAAGUCGAACGGCAGCACAGUAAGAGCUUGCUCUGACGGGGGGGGGGUGGCGGAAGUGUGAGGUAAACAACCUACCCUACUUUUUCGGGGGGGAUAAUGUAGGGAAACUUACGCUAAUACCGGAUACGCCCUACGCGUGAAAGCAGGGGAAAUUCGGAACUUGCGCGAUUGAAGGAGCCGAUGUCGAUUUAGCUGGUUGUGGGGGUAAAGGCCAACCAAGCCGACGAUCGGUAGCUGGUCUGGGCGGAGGGUCAGCCACACUAGAACUGGGACACGGUCCAGCCUCCUCCGCGACGCAGCAGUGGGGUAUGUUGUACAAUGGGCGCAAGCCUGCUCCAGCCGUACCACGUCGGUUAAGAAGGCCCUGGGUUUGUGAAGUCCUUUUGUUUGGGAAGAAAAGCAGCAGGUUAAUACCCUGCUGUUCUGACGGUACCCAAAGAAUAAGCACCGGCUAACUUCGUG